GGGUUUGGGUAAUAUGGAAGAGAGCUUGCCUUCAAAUUUCGCUGAUGGGAAUGAGCAACCUGACCCAAACACUUCUCCAGUGGAAGAUGUUUCGGCGGCUACAAAACAAAAGAAGAUGCAGUCAGAGUCCAAAAGGUGCAAGUCGCUCAACAACGUGGAUUUGGGGAACAUUGAAGAGAAUUUCGGGAACAUGGAAGAGAACCCACCUUCUGAUCUGGCUAUUGGGAAUGAGCAAACAUUGCCGAAGUUAGCUAGCAACUUGGACAUGGGGAACAUGGAAGAGAACACGCCUUCUGAUCUGGCCAAUGGGAAUGAGAAAACAGAGCCUAACUCAGCCAACAGCAUGGAUUUAGGGAACAUGGAAGAGAACACGCCUUCUGAUUUGGCAAAUGGGAAUAAGAAAAAAGAGCCUAAGUCAGUCAGCAAGUUGGAUCUGGGUAGCGAGAAAGUGAGCAUUCCUUCUAAUCUCGUCAAUGGAAAUGAGCAACAUGACCUAAACAUUGCUCCAGGUGAAGAUGCUUCAGCGGCUAAGCAACCAGAAAAGAAGCGAUCCAGGUCUAAAAAGCGCAAAUCAGGCAACAACCUGGAUUUGGGGAAGAUGGAAAAGAGCAAGCCUUCCGAUCUGGCAAAUGAGAAUGAGCAAACAGAGCCCAAGUCAGCCAACAACUUGGAUUUAGGGAAUAUGAAAGAGAACACGCCUUCGGAUCUGGCUAAUGAGAAUGAGCAAACAGAGCUUAGGCUACCUAACAACUCGGAUUAUGGUAACAUGGAAGAGAGCUUGCCUUUGAAUCUUGCUAAUGGGGAUGAACAACCUGACCCAAC
rnacentral:lncRNA from 1 species